UACAUGGGGUGCAAACGUUGCUCGGAAUUAUUGGGCGUAAAGCGCACGUAGGUGGUCUGUUAUGUCAGAUGUGAAAGCCCUCGGCUUAACUGAGGAAGUGCACCUGAAACUGGCAGGCUUGAGUACGAAAGAGGGUCGCGGAAUUCCCGGUGUAGAGGUGAAAUUCGUAGAUAUUGGGAAGAACACCGGUGGCGAAGGCGGCUCACUGGCCCGUUUCUGACGCUCAGGCGCGACAGCGUGGGGAUCAAACAGG
rnacentral:rRNA from 1 species